rnacentral:misc_RNA from 1 species
AACGCACAUUGCGCCCGCCAGUAUUCUGGCGGGCAUGCCUGUUCGAGCGUCAUUUCAACCAUCAAGCCCCGGGCUUGUGUUGGGGACCUGCGGCUGCCGCAGGCCCUGAAAUGCAGUGGCGGGCUCGCUGUCACUCCGAGCGUAGUAAUACCUCUCGCUUAGGGUGUAUGGUGGAGAUCCAGCCCUUUUUUAAACUUUUUGUGGUUGACCUCGGAUCAGGUAGGAAUACCCGCUGAACUUAA